rnacentral:rRNA from 1 species
GUGGUAAUGCCGGAUGCUCCGGUUGGAUGCAUGUCCUUCCGGGAAAGAUCCAUCGGUAUGGGAUGGGGUCGCGUCCUAUCAGCUUGAUGGCGGGGUAACGGCCCACCAUGGCCUCGACGGGUAGCCGGCCUGAGAGGGCGACCGGCCACAUUGGGACUGAGAUACGGCCCAGACUCCUACGGGAGGCAGCAGUGGGGAAUAUUGCACAAUGGGCGCAAGCCUGAUGCAGCGACGCCGCGUGCGGGAUGGAGGCCUUCGGGUUGUAAACCGCUUUUGAUCGGGAGCAAGCCCUUCGGGGUGAGUGUACCUUUCGAAUAAGCACCGGCUAACUACGUGCCAGCAGCCGCGGUAAUACGUAGGGUGCAAGCGUUAUCCGGAAUUAUUGGGCGUAAAGGGCUCGUAGGCGGUUCGUCGCGUCCGGUGUGAAAGCCCAUCGCUUAACGGUGGGUCUGCGCCGGGUACGGGCGGGCUGGAGUGCGGUAGGGGAGACUGGAAUUCCCGGUGUAACGGUGGAAUGUGUAGAUAUCGGAAAAGAACACCA